AACGAACGCUGGCGGCAUGCCUAACACAUGCAAGUCGAACGAGACCUUCGGGUCUAGUGGCGCACGGGUGCGUAACGCGUGGGAAUCUGCCCUUGGGUUCGGGAUAACAGUUGGAAACGACUGCUAAUACCGGAUGAUGACUUCGGUCCAAAGAUUUAUCGCCCAGGGAUGAGCCCGCGUCGGAUUAGCUAGUUGGUGAGGUAAGAGCUCACCAAGGCGACGAUCCGUAGCUGGUCUGAGAGGAUGAUCAGCCACACUGGGACUGAGACACGGCCCAGACCCCUGGGGGAGGGGGGGGGGGGAAAUAUGGAAAAAGGGGAGAAGGCCUGACCACGCAGUGCCGGGGGAGGGAGAAAGGCCUUAGGGUUGAAAAGCUUUUUUACCGGGGAGGAUAAGGACAGUCCCGGGAAAAUAAGCCCCGGCUAACCCCGUG
rnacentral:rRNA from 1 species